GUGGGGAAUUUUGGACAAUGGGCGAAAGCCUGAUCCAGCCAUGCCGCGUGCAGGAUGAAGGCCUUCGGGUUGUAAACUGCUUUUGUACGGAACGAAACGGUCCGGGUUAAUACCCUGGGCUAAUGACGGUACCGUAAGAAUAAGCACCGGCUAACUACGUGCCAGCAGCCGCGGUAAUACGUAGGGUGCAAGCGUUAAUCGGAAUUACUGGGCGUAAAGCGUGCGCAGGCGGUUGUGUAAGACAGGCGUGAAAUCCCCGGGCUCAACCUGGGCAUUGCGCUUGUGACUGCAAGGCUGGAGUGCGGCAGAGGGGGAUGGAAUUCCGCGUGUAGCAGUGAAAUGCGUAGAUAUGCGGAGGAACACCGAUGGCGAAGGCAAUCCCCUGGGCCUGCACUGACGCUCAUGCACGAAAGCGUGGGGAGCAAACAGGAUUAGAUACCCUUGUAGUCC
rnacentral:rRNA from 1 species